ACUCCUACGGGAGGCAGCAGUGGGGAAUAUUGCACAAUGGGCGCAAGCCUGAUGCAGCAACGCCGCGUGAGUGAUGAAGGCCUUCGGGUCGUAAAGCUCUGUCCUCAAGGAAGAAUAAAUGACGGUACUUGAGGAGGAAGCCCCGGCUAACUACGUGCCAGCAGCCGCGGUAAUACGUAGGGGGCAAGCGUUAUCCGGAAUCACUGGGCGUAAAGGGUGCGUAGGCGGUUUUUCAAGUCAGAAGUGAAAGGCUAUGGCUCAACCAUAGUAAGCUUUUGAAACUGUUAAACUUGAGUGCAGGAGAGGAAAGUGGAAUUCCUAGUGUAGAGGUGAAAUUCGUAGAUAUUAGGAGGAACACCAGUGGCGAAGGCGACUUUCUGGACUGUAACUGACGCUGAGGCACGAAAGCGUGGGGAGCGAACAGGAUUAGAUACCCUGGUAGCACAGAGC
rnacentral:rRNA from 1 species